GUGGGGAAUCUUCCACAAUGGGGGCAACCCUGAUGGAGCAACACCGCGUGCUGGAUGAAGGCCUUCGGGUCGUAAACAGCUUUUGUAUACGAAGAAUAUGACGGUAAUAUACGAAUAAGGGUCGGCUAACUACGUGCCAGCAGCCGCGGUCAUACGUAGGACCCAAGCGUUAUCCGGAGUGACUGGGCGUAAAGAGUUGCGUAGGCGGCUUAUUAAGCGAGUAGUGAAAUCUGGUGGCUCAACCAUCAACACAUUGCUCGAACUGAUAGGCUUGAGAAUGGUAGAGGUAGUUGGAAUUUCUUGUGUAGGAGUGAAAUCCGUAGAUAUAAGAAGGAACACCAAUGGCGUAGGCAGACUACUGGACCAUUUCUGACGCUGAGGCACGAAAGCGUGGGGAGCGAACCGGAUUAGAAACCCGUGUAGUCC
rnacentral:rRNA from 1 species